GCGAAAGCGUUAAGCAUCCCACCUGGGGAGUACGCCGACAACGGUGAAACUCAAAGGAAUUGACGGGGGCCCGCACAAGCGGAGGAACAUGUGGUUUAAUUCGAUGAUACGCGAGGAACCUUACCCGGGCUUGAAUUGCAGGAGAACGAUCCAGAGAUGGUGAGGUCCUUCGGGACCCCUGUGAAGGUGCUGCAUGGUUGUCGUCAGCUCGUGCCGUGAGGUGUCGGCUUAAGUGCCAUAACGAGCGCAACCCCUUUCCUCAGUUGCCAUCAGGUAGAGCUGGGCACUCUGGGGACACUGCCACCGCAAGGUGUGAGGAAGGUGGGGAUGACGUCAAAUCAGCACGGCCCUUACGUCCGGGGCUACACACGUGUUACAAUGGGGGGUACAGAGAGCCGGUGGCGCGCAAGCUCCAUCCAAUCCUUAAAGCCCUCCUCAGUUCGGACUGGGGUCUGCAACCCGACCCCACGAAGCUGGAUUCGCUAGUAAUCGCGCAUCAGCCAUGGCGCGGUGAAUACGUUCCCGGGCCUUGUACACACCGCCCGUCAAGCCAUGAAAGCCGGGGGUGCCUGAAGUCCGUGACCGGAAGGAUCGGCCUAGGGCAAAACUGGUGAUUGGGGCUAAGUCGUAACAAGGUA
rnacentral:rRNA from 1 species